UACGUAGGUCGCAAGCGUUGUCCGGAUUUACUGGGCGUAAAGAGCGCGCAGGCGGCUGGUCAAGUCCGAUGUGAAAUCUCCCGGCUCAACUGGGAAACUGCAUCGGAAACUGAUCGGCUUGAAGAUGGGAGAGGGUAGUGGAAUUCCCGGUGUAGUGGUGAAAUGCGUAGAUAUCAGGAGGAACACCGGUGGUGUAGACGGCUUUCUGGACCGUAACUGACGCUGAGACACGAAAAGCGUGGGUAGCAAACAGG
rnacentral:rRNA from 1 species